rnacentral:lncRNA from 1 species
UGUGCCGCGCGGGUUACUUUGUGCCACCCGCACUUUAGUUCGAACAAAUGUGUCCUAGCAGUUCCCGGUGUUCCCACCAAAAGCGCUGAUGUACUCUAAACAUAGUUGGAUAGUGGUGCAAUGUGAUUGUGUAUUCGUAUUUCCGUCAUGCUUCUGACAUUCACGGCUGAGCGUCCCAACUGUCUUGUGUGUUUCUCGAAAAAUUUGUAUUGUGUCGUACAGAAGGAAGAAUUUCAGCUAACUGAGAUUAGUAUAAUAUUUUCCUUCAUUAGUCUGCUGCCACAGUAUGAUUGUUUUGACGAUGAUGGUUUUUGCACAUUAGUGAGAUUUAUUGAAUAUUGACAGAUUUGGGGGUGACUUUGUGCCACGUUUCCACGAAGGCUUUGGGCGAUAUUUCUAUUAUAUACUGUACCGGUAUUCAUAAGAUUGAUAUUCUGUAUACGAUUCUGUUGCAGAAAAUGCCACGAACAUACAAAAAAAGCCGCUGGUUGUUGUCCCUAUACAAACUACACUGAUGAUAUGUUGGAGAAUGCACCUACAGAAAUUCGUGGUAAGAAAAUUUCAGCUCGUGCAGUAGCAAACAAAUACGGUAUUCACCGAAAAACCGUCAUGAACAAGUUACAUGGGAAACAAUGCACAGAUUGGUGGACAAACUGUGUUUAGUAAAGAAGAGGAAGAUACAAAAAAGAUGACUGAACCGAAUAUGGUACCGAGAGAGAACCCGAUGUUGAGACAAAGCUGGACGCUGUAUCCCAGUGACGAGCCUUUAUAUGAUCCAGGUGUUAGUGUUUGUCAUCCAUACCCAUUUGUUUCAUCUGCGAAAGUCGUCGAAAUCGCCAAUUUGUUGUCAGAACAGUUUUAAGUUUAGAGAUGACCCCCACAUCACUGUAUAAGGUUUAGGAAAGGACACCAUUCAUAGUGCCUGAAUUAUAUUUCAGUAAAGUUUUUGCACGCUACUUAAGGGACGAAAUAUAAUUAUUGUUUCUGGUUAAAUAUUACUCAUAUGUGCAAAAUGUAAAAGUUUUGUAAAUUUAAAUUGAGAGAAAAUGUUGUAGCAUUGGAUUGUGGGAGAAAAGAAUUGAAAAUUUUUUUCUAUAAGAAUUUACUGUGUGCCAUCAAGCCCUAGCCAUUGACUAUUUGAUGUAACUGUAUAUAAUGUUAUAAUGUAAUCUUAGCUAUUUUGUUUAUUUGUGAAAGACUUCAGUUCAAAAUAGAUUUUAGUAAGAACUGUUUAGAUUUGAGAGUGUCGGUGUAGCUUUUGAAAUCUUUCAUAACUAGCAAGUGUUUAGUAAAAACCGUAAAACGUACUCGGGAGAAAUUUUAGGUUCUUAAGAGGGUGCGUAACACCGUGAGUCAAUACGCUAUAGCAUUUUAUUGCAGUAAGCUACUUUGAAGUGCGGGCUUGUAGCUUUGUAGUUGUUGGCUGUGGCAAUAUACAGCCACCGGUAUCUUAGUGACUCGCUCGCAUCUGUCGCUAGCCUAGCCGUGGGAAGCGGUACCUGUUUCAAUUCAAGCAACAGAAUAUUCAAGCCCCUAAGAAUCUAAAUAAACUAUAUUAAAUAUUAUUCAAUUUAGUUUAAAGUCAAUAUACUGACCUUAUUAAAAAGAAGAUUGAGAGUUGGAGAAAAUUACCUAAAACACCCCAAACUGACACUGGUAAGAUUAAAGUCAGUCAGGGUUCGUAACAGUUUGUCUUUUAGUAUCAUGUGGAAUCAUUACUGAAGCUUAGAGCAUGUUAGGUCAAUUUGUUUAGAGUUUCAUAAAUAAAAAUGUUAACUAUUUGGCAUUUUUUGUAAUAUAAAAUUCAGGAAAGAUCAGUAUUUAUUUAAUGUGUUGUUGUGUUAGAAAAUAAGAAUGAGUGAGUGUGUGUAUGUGUGACAUAUGAAAAAAUUCAAUAUUAUCUCAUGUUACACCAUUAUGUAACUGUGUUGUGGGGAAGUUGUGUUUUACCCACAUUGCUGAUGACGUAUGUUUAAGUGUACUUGCUUUUGUAAGGAGGCAGCCAGAAUAGCCAUUUGCAGAGUAAUAAGUUUCUAAACUUAUUAGGAGUUUAGUUUUCCUUCCAUUUGGUUUUGUUAAACAUUAUAUUAAUAUUUGCAUAUUGAAAUGAUGUAAAUGCAACUGGGAAUAGUGAUUGGCGUAGGACAGUUUUGGCGAGAGAAUAAUCUCGAAGGAUAGUUCUGAUUGGCUGGUCAUUUUCAUCAACCAACGGAGUUAAGUAGUUCCCGCGCACUGCUAAGUAGUUUUACAGGGAGAGAAGCAGACUGAACAGGAGUCGCUGGCUAGCUAUCGUAUGUGCAGGUCAUGGUGGACGUGUCCGUCUACAUUAUGAGUACUGGUUUCUCGCCUCCGGAUGGUAUUGCUGUGGAAGCAGUUGCAUUUAUGGACAGAUUAUGAAAAUCUGAUCUUUGUGAAGUGAUCUGUUGGAUAGAUAAACACGUGUGAACUUUCGUGGCAUGUUUCAUACCCGUUUAUGGAAUAGUUGGUGUGCAGCUUCCUUAUUAAAAAUCCACUGAAAAGGACCGAAUGUGAAACUCGUAUUUGUAUUUGUAGUAGAGUAAUGACUCUAAAUCACAUAAUAAAUCGGGUCGGACUUAAGUGCAUGUCUGGCUGCCUUGCGUGUGUACUGAGUUGUCUGAACUGUGAGCUGAGGACAGUGAUAUUGUUCGUUAACUAAAUACAGGCUGAUGACAAGUGUUUAUUUUGAACCUAAAAAAAUAAAAGAACUCGUUUGCUGAA